CGACACCUAAAAUGGCCGACACGUGAAAAUUGGAUAUCAUUCGACUCGGCAUGACCCACCCAAUCUAAAGAGACCAGUUUUGUUAUUUUUGGCCAAACCAUUCAGAAGUUCUGUGCAAAAAUAUGCAUUUUUCGUAUCUCCUGACCACUAGGGGGCACUGCAGCGAAACACUGCAGGUAGCCUCAGGCUAUGCUUGUUACAACAUACACCAAGUUUGGUCUCAAUACGCUAAACCGUUGCGGAGAUAUAGCCUCAUAACUAUUUUUGCGUGUUUUUUCUUGAAUUCAUUUGCGUGUUAUUCCAGAAAGUUUUGAAUAAUCAACUUGAAUUCCAUAACUUUUUGCCAGCAUGGUCUUAAGAUGAUCUGAGCUCAUUUUGGUGAGAGUCGGACUAACCGUCUAGGAAGAGAUAGAAAAAGUAAUUUUUUCGAAUAUCUAAAAAUAGAAAAAAAACUAAACCUUGCGAUUUUUGAAUUUUGGGGUUCAAUCGACUUGGCAUGAACCAAGGAUUCAGAGAAAAAUAUAAUGUUCCUUAUGUACCUUAUGGUUCAAACGUUAUUAGCAGACAUUUUUUGAAAGUUUGGACAAAUGGUGGCGCUAGAGAGCUGGAGUUAGAGACUUUAAAUUUGCGAUGGUUAAUGUUGACACUGUCCUCUAUGAGUGUGCCAAAUUUCACAACUUUCCCGCAGUCGGUUCUAUGGGCUGCCAUAGACUUGCGGCGGAAGCGGAAGAAUAAUAAUAAUAAAUAUAGCUGCAAGCAGCAAUUACGGGGCCAAGCACUCCAGAGGCAAAUUGAGGAGCUAAGCAUGGCAUGGACCAUCAGACCAAAUGCAGAAAGGAGUAACUGAAGCCAUUUUAGGAUGAUUGUAAUUGAAAUGGCGGAAAAAUCAUAAAUACAAGCACUAGUAUUAUGAUUAAAUGGCUUAUCACUUUUGACCAACAGGUGGCGCUGUAAUCAAAUCAUUUUGGUGUGUUCUGUGUGAGGUGACAAUGGCACACACAAAGUUUGGUGUCAGUAUGCCAAAGCAUUGCAGAGAUACAGGCUGAAGUGUCAUUUUGGCAUCAUGCCUGAAAUUCGUCGCUGUGGUAUGCGAAAACGGUUUUGUCUAUCGAUACAAAAUCCAUAACAUUUUGUCAGCACAGUCUGAAGAUCAUCUGAUUCAAUUUUGGUGAAAAUCGGACCAACGGUUGAUGAGGAGUUCGAAAAAGUAGGUUUUCAACAUAAAUCAAAAUGGCGGACAGGAAGUUCAGCGUACUCUGGCAUAUUUGGUAUCUAUGUUGUCGGCCUAAGCCAAGGAAUAUUUUGAGACCAGUUUCAUUGCAAUAGGCUAAUGCAUUAAAAAGUUAUUAGCAUUUAUAUAAAUGUAAUUAUUAAUGGUUAAUGAAUGAUUUAUUUGUCUUGACCAAUAGGUGGCGCUGUUACCAAAUUGAUGUGACAUGGUCAGUCUGAGGUGACAAUGGCACAUACAAAGUUUGGUACAAAUAUGUCAAAGCAUUGCCGAGAUACCGCCUCAGAUGUAUUUUGGCAUCUUACGAACAAAUUCGUUGAUGCGCUAAACGAAAACCGUUUCGUAUAUCAACACGAAUUCCAUAACUUUUUGUCAGCUUGGUCUGAAGAUGAUCCGAACCAAAUUUGGUGAAAAUCGGACUAACGGUCUAGGAGGAGUUCGAAAAAGUAGGUUUUCAACUUUAAUCAAAAUGGCGGACAGGAAGUAUGGCCAAUUUUGGCAUAAUUGGUAUCGAUGUUCUCGGCAUGACCCAAAGAAUAUAGUGAGACCACUUUCAUUUCAAUAGUCUAAUAUUUUCAAAAGUUAUUAGCAUAUAUUAGAUAUUUCAUUAUAACUUUUGACCACAAGGUGGCGCUGCCACCAAACUUUUUGAGUAGCUUCAGGGCAUGGAGCCAAACAUUUUUGUAAUUAUUUUCGUAGCGAUACGAUAAUGCGUUCAAAAUAUACAGCAUUUUGAAACAUAAUUCAAA
ensembl:lncRNA